UACAGAGGUCUCAAGCGUUGUUCGGAUUCAUUGGGCGUAAAGGGUGCGUAGGCGGCGCGGUAAGUCGGGUGUGAAAUUUCGGAGCUUAACUCCGAAACUGCAGUCGAUACUGCGGUGCUUGAGGACUGGAGAGGAGACUGGAAUUCAUGGUGUAGCAGUGAAAUGCGUAGAGAUCAUGAGGAAGACCAGUGGCGAAGGCGGGUCUCUGGACAGUUCCUGACACUGAGACACGAAGGCCAGGGGAGCAAACGGG
rnacentral:rRNA from 1 species